rnacentral:sRNA from 1 species
AUAUUUGAGCGAAUGAUGUUUUCAAGAAUGGAAACAAACCGUCACGUUUCAGAUCCAUAUGGUGGCGGUGGCCAUGUUGUCGUUUGCUACACUGAUGACAACGUAAAAGGAAGAUAUAAUCGAUUGAAUUGCCGCACUCUGCACACUUGACGCAUCUGUCAGCUAAUUAUCGAAUUGCAAAGAUUGUCCAUGAAAUGGCAUCAUACACGGCGCGAGCUACCGUAUGAUAAUUGGAACACGCGGGAAAUAGAGAAUAGGAUGCUGAUCAGACAAAAUUCAAUUACCAAUCAAUCCAAUCAUCAUGACAAUCUUAACACUUACAAACAUUAUUGGUGAUUGGAGAGGUUUUAUCUUCAUGCUCAACCAGAUAUUAAGUCCAUUUCGAGACCAACAUUUGUAUGCGGAUAUGAUUGUCUUUGUGGCAGAUAAGUUACAGUUAAUUAUUUUCAAGGAUAUUGGGCAAAUGUUGAAAACAGGAAUCAUAAGUGAAAUUAAAGAUAUUCUUAUCAAACAAAUGCUAAAUGACUACGUGCAAGCAAGAAAAUGUCAAUAUUGCUAAAAUAACAAAUAUCAAUUAUUGUGCUAGAUUUUCCUCUUUGGGAUUUUGAAUAUUUUUACAGUAUUUUUCUCUACUUUGGACAAGGUCAUAUGCUGUUGGGUGACCAAAACUCGAUCCCCGCCCGGACUGACGCACAGCUUGUGGGGGUUGGAAAUGCCGUCAAUUAUAAUGGCUCCGAUUAUCUGUCCCUCAGUGGACAUUUCCAAAACGUUGUGAGACCGAUUCCCCGCCACAAAGAGACGCGUCCCAUGAACAGCGACCCCUCGUGGUCCUUUUAGGUGGUGAUACCUGAUUUCCCAUCGCUUUUCUCCCUUCAGUGUCAGUGAUAGUACCGACUUCUUGUACCUAUCUGUAACAAACAGGUUGCUGCCGUCUUUGUCAACUGUGAUGUAAUCAGGAAAGAAAAAUAAGUCCUGUCCAAACUGAUCUCGUGUGAAAACCUUCAAUUCUCGUCCAUCGCGAGACAUGAUUUUUACAGAUGGCGGUGAAGUAUAGCACGAAAUGGCAAAAAGAUCUUGAGUGCACCCGAUUCCAAAACAUUUCGCCCCAGUUUGAAAUCCCCCAACGAUUGAGAACUCGGUAUCUUUGACUGAGAAGAGUAAAACCUUUUUCUCUUUUGGGAGAGUGACGGCCACAUCGGUUCCACUACAACUGGCGAUGUCAUAAGGUCUCACUGAGAGGACUUUCUCAGUUAUCCACUUGUACUGAUGAUCAAAGAGCUUCAGCUUUCUGUGAACUUGGUCGACAAGGACUAUUCGACCAUUUCCUAUAAACACGGCUCCCGUCAGAGAGCAGUUCUCUCGGUCGUUUGGUGUUUGUCCACGAAAGGUGCUUUCAAGAGUAGCAAGGCGAACACUUGGAGGUCUCGGUUUCCAAGUACUCGGGGUAGAUACAUGCACAGCUUUCUGUAGUGUGGAGAUUGAUGUACUUGAUAUUGGGGUAGAUACGAGCCCGAUUUUCUUUUGAGUGGGAAUAGCUGUACUCGAGAUUGGAGGCAACACAGAAUUCUUAAAAUCUUUUAGCUCUUCAAAGGGGUUUUCAUUUUGCUUCAUAUCAUCCUCCUUCUCAAUUGUUGGAUGAUGGUGGUCUUCUGAAUCUUCUCUUACCUCAGUUAUUAAAACAGUGUCGGCUCGUACGGCAUACGAAGGCGGAAUAAGAAUGCUCUGUCUAGUCACGGCAAAGCUCCCCAGUUCCUUCAGCUGGUUUAAUAAUGAUGGAAGAUUUUUGUCUGGUUUGAAAUCGACGUAGACAUCUUUUAGGUUGUUUGAAAUGUUCUUCAAAGAUUUUUCGCUUAAGCGAGUCUCUUUCUUUAUUUUGGCGAUGCACGACAACAAGUCGUUUUCCGUGCCAUGUUUCAUAGCGUUUUUCAAAAGGGCGCUGGAGUUUCGUGUUGUACUAAUGAUACCUUGGCAUGUCUCUUUUUCUGACUGCAAGAUUUCCAUUUCUGCUGUUUUCAUUUCUUCCAAUUCUUCUAGUAUGCGGGUCUCUUGAGCAUCCAAAACAUCGUUAAUUUGCUUUCUGAUGUUAGCUAUUUGAUUCUUCACAUGUUUGGCCGUGUCUUCAAGUGCAUCUACGCAGUGUUUGCGGUUAUCCAUGAUUCGGACCGACCAGUCUGUCUGGUGCUUCAAAUUUUCAAUAAGUGUGUUGGUUUCCUCUUUGCAUGCGGUAGCUGCCUCAUGGCAUGUUUUUACACUUGAGCAAUGUCUGUGGCUGGCUGUUACACAUGUAUCGCACAAAACCACUCCAUGGUCGUCACAAUAAAAAUCAAGAAACCUUCCUUCGUGAUCUGGACACAGAGCGUGAAUCGAGAUACUCUUGAAGGGUAGAUGUUUGAUGUUUUCUAUUUCAAAGGAAUGAUGAGACUGGGUAAACUUCAUACUGCUGUGGACUUGAUUGCAUUCCUCGCACAGGGAUUCGUCGCAAUCGUCACACCAAUAGCGGGCGAGGGACUUCCGAUUCCGGUGAAGACACGUGUCGCAUCGCCUGUCUUCUGCGCGUAACUUUGCAGCAUUAAGUAAUCCAUUUAGAAAAUUGUUGGCCGGUAAUACAUUCGCCCAUGAUUCGGUUGGGACGUGCCCUGGACCCUCAUUAAUGCGUUUACAAACGGGACAAGUAAACGAUUUAGGCUGUCUUUGGUCAUUCGUACUCUGAAUAAUGUGUUCUGAAAUGCAGUCAUGACAGAACGAAUGGAGGCAAGAGAGUGUGCGCGGGUCGCUGAAAUCCUCAGAACAUAUCGGGCACACUAGGAACUCCUCGGCAAUGUCGCUGAGAUCGGCGAUACUUCCUGCCAGACUUCUAUGGGUCAGGCGAGAAGUCAUCUGCAAAACAGAGUAGACUCACAGAAAACAGGCAAGGAAGCGAGUGAAAUCUUAAUUAUGGAAUAAAAUAUGUAUACAAAUUUAAGAAUGCAUUAAAACUCUACCUUUCGAAUAAAGUCAGUUUUU